rfam:Ruminococcus sp. CAG:9-related_41_34 Ley3_66761_scaffold_2255, whole genome shotgun sequence.
CUAAAUGCAAUGACAGGGAGUAGUACAUAGUUUCCGGAUGCACAGAGAGAAGAUGGCCGGUGAGAAUCUUCGUGACAGUACUAUGGAAGUAGCCCUCGAGCAGUGGACUGAACCAUGAAUUUUCAUGCAGUAGGCUUCAACGUCAUUCCCACGUUACAGGGAAGCAGUAUAAUUUUGUACUGGCAGAGAGCAGAGUUUUACCUCUGAAAACAGGUGGUACCGCGGAAUCAUCCGUCCUGAGC